UACGGAGGGGGCUAGCGUUGUUCGGAAUUACUGGGCGUAAAGCGCACGUAGGCGGCUUUGCAAGUUAGAGGUGAAAGCCCGGAGCUUAACUCCGGAAUUGCCUUUAAAACUGCAUCGCUAGAAUCGUGGAGAGGUGAGUGGAAUUCCGAGUGUAGAGGUGAAAUUCGUAGAUAUUCGGAAGAACACCAGUGGCGAAGGCGACUCACUGGACGCAUAUUGACGCUGAGGUGCGAAAGCGUGGGGAGCAAACAGG
rnacentral:rRNA from 1 species